GCCCAUCUAUCCAUCCUAACACACCUCACAAACACAUAUAGUUCAUUCAAAGUUUGAAAGGGAGGGGGAGCAGAAGAGUAGUAGUAAUUUGAAGAGAACCAUGGCAGCCUCUAGCUUGGCCUCGGCUGCUUCAAGCUUCGUGCUCACCUCCAACAUCUCCACCACCACCACCACCACCACAUCCUCACGUAUCAGCUUGCUCACCUUCUCCAAGCCAAGCAGGAAGCUGGUGGUCCGAGCUGGAGAGGCGUCGGCGCCGCCACCUGCUCCACCAGCAGCAGGAGAGGGUCCUGCAAAAGCCACCAAGCCCCCUCCGCCGCAACCGAUCGGUCCCAAGAGAGGUGCAAAGGUAC
rnacentral:lncRNA from 1 species